rnacentral:lncRNA from 1 species
AAAUUUUUAUGCGCUACGGCGGACAAAGGAUGAACGAUAAUAUCGUUCUAGCAAUGUAGUAUUGAUCAAUACGGGGCCCAUGGACUGUACACCCUCAGGCCCGUAAGCAAUGCCGAUUUACAGAUGAAUUUUUGUUUAACCUUUUCGAAAAUGAAAACAAUGUUCAUGAUAUGUCACAGAAACCUUAUAAAUAGACAAUACACAGUUUCAAAAACUUGAACGAGGGUUGUUAUGCUAUUAUUAUUG